UGGGGAAUAUUGGACAAUGGGGGCAACCCUGAUCCAGCAAUGCCGCGUGUGUGAAGAAGGCCUGCGGGUUGUAAAGCACUUUCAAUCGUGAAGAAAAGCUUACGGUUAAUACCCGUAAGUCUUGACGUUAUCGAUACAAGAAGCACCGGCUAACUCCGUGCCAGCAGCCGCGGUAAUACGGAGGGUGCGAGCGUUAAUCGGAAUUACUGGGCGUAAAGAGCACGUAGGCGGUUUGGUCAGUCGGAUGUGAAAGCCUUGGGCUUAACCUGGGAAUUGCAUUCGAUACUGUCAGACUAGAGUUUGGUAGAGGAAUGCGGAAUUCCGGGUGUAGCGGUGAAAUGCGUAGAGAUCCGGAAGAACAUCAGUGGCGAAGGCGGCAUUCUGGGCUAAAACUGACGCUGAGGUGCGAAAGCGUGGGGAGCAAACAGGAUUAGAUACCCCCGUAGUCC
rnacentral:rRNA from 1 species